rnacentral:rRNA from 1 species
GACGAACGCUGGCGGCGUGCUUAACACAUGCAAGUCGAACGGAAAGGCCCUGCUUUUGUGGGGUGCUCGAGUGGCGAACGGGCGAGUAACACGUGAGUAACCUGCCCUUGAUUUUGGGAUAACUUCAGGAAACUGGGGCUAAUACCGGAUAGGAGCUCCUGCUGCAUGGUGGGGGUUGGAAAGUUUCGGCGGUUGGGGAUGGACUCGCGGCUUAUCAGCUUGUUGGUGGGGUAGUGGCUUACCAAGGCGUUGACGGGUAGCCGGCCUGAGAGGGUGACCGGCCACAUUGGGACUGAGAUACGGCCCAGACUCCUACGGGAGGCAGCAGUGGGGAAUAUUGCACAAUGGGCGGAAGCCUGAUGCAGCAACGCCGCGUGCGGGAUGACGGCCUUCGGGUUGUAAACCGCUUUCGCCUGUGACGAAGCGUGAGUGACGGUAAUGGGUAAAGAAGCACCGGCUAACUACGUG